rnacentral:rRNA from 1 species
UACGGAGGGGGCAAGCGUUGUUCGGAAUUACUGGGCGUAAAGGGCGCGCAGGCGGCUGCUCAAGUCAGGCGUGAAAGGCCUGGGCUCAACCCGGGAAUUGCGCUUGAGACUGGGCUGGCUUGAGUGCGGGAGAGGAUGGUGGAAUUCCCAGUGUAGAGGUGAAAUUCGUAGAUAUUGGGAAGAACACCGGUGGCGAAGGCGGCCAUCUGGACCGCAACUGACGCUGAGGCGCGAGAGCGUGGGGAGCAAACAGG